UGAUCAGCAUGCCGCGUGUGUGAAGAAGGCCUUCGGGUUGUAAAGCACUUUUGUCCGGAAAGAAAACCUCGGGUUUAAUACCCGCGGGGGAUGACGGUACCGGAAGAAUAAGCACCGGCUAACUACGUGCCAGCAGCCGCGGUAAUACGUAGGGUGCAAGCGUUAAUCGGAAUUACUGGGCGUAAAGCGUGCGCAGGCGGUUUGCUAAGACCGAUGUGAAAUCCCCGGGCUCAACCUGGGAACUGCAUUGGUGACUGGCGGGCUAGAGUAUGGCAGAGGGGGGUAGAAUUCCACGUGUAGCAGUGAAAUGCGUAGAGAUGUGGAGGAAUACCGAUGGCGAAGGCAGCCCCCUGGGCCAAUACUGACGCUCAUGCACGAAAGCGUGGGGAGCAAACAGGAUUAGAUACCCUGGUAGUCCACGCCCUAAACGAUGUCAACUAGUUGUUGGGGAUUCAUUGCCUUGGUAACGUAGCUAACGCGUGAAGUUGACCGCCUGGGGAGUACGGUCGCAAGAUUAAAAUCAAAG
rnacentral:rRNA from 1 species